rfam:Helianthus annuus linkage group 1, whole genome shotgun sequence.
GUUCAGGGGAAUGCUGACUGGCCCAAGAUCUUUCAUGAAAUCUACAAGGGUGAGUGAUUUCGGACCAGGCUUCAUUCCCCUCAAC